UACGAAGGGGGCUAGCGUUGCUCGGAAUUACUGGGCGUAAAGGGAGCGUAGGCGGACAGUUAAGUCAGUGGUGAAAGCCCAGGGCUCAACCCUGGAAUUGCCUUUGAUACUGAUUGUCUUGAGUAUGGGAGAGGUAUGCGGAACUCCGAGUGUAGAGGUGAAAUUCGUAGAUAUUCGGAAGAACACCAGUGGCGAAGGCGGCAUACUGGCCCAUUACUGACGCUGAGGCUCGAAAGCGUGGGGAGCAAAUAGG
rnacentral:rRNA from 1 species